GCACUGGGGGACAGCUGUGCCAGAGCAGCUCGGAGCAGAGGGCUGCGCUCUUGGAAUUAAAAUCCCAAGGUGAAAUGUGCCAUUGCCCAAAUGCUGCUCUGCUACCCCACUCCUCCGGGCCCCAUUGCUUACAGCCUCACACCAGUGAACCCUCAGCACCUCCUCAGCAAAGCUACGGGGGUGGCAGGAAGGUGUUAUUCUUGGCAACGCUCCCCACCCCCCUUUUCUUUUUGAUGCUGAACUGUUCAUUUUCAGAUUUUGAGUCACAAUAUUUCUCCAAGCAAAAAGAGUACGAGUUUGGAAAAAAUCCAACUUAGCCCUUCCAACUUCUUUGUGGUCGCUCCCAUUCACAGCGGAAGAAGCUCCAAGCCCUGCUGGCGCUGGGGCACACGGUGACACUGGUCCACAGGGUCCCAACCCUGACCAUGGAGCGUGUGUGGAGCAGGAGUGGGUGAAGGGGUUGCGAGAGGCGAGCAGGGGGAGCAGAGCAGAAACAUUCUCAUUAGCCCAUCCCUACGCUGUGGGUGUGUGGAGUUCAUAGAGCUGUUAAGGUUGGAAAUGACCUCUAAGGCCACUAAGUCCAACUGUUGAGCCCUGCACACACGCCCACCAACCGUGUCCUUCAGUGCCAUAUCUCCACAUCUGUUGGACACUUCCAGGGAUGGACGGCUUCUCAUGGAUGGAAUGAAAGGGACUAUAAAGUCCCAGAGCGCCGUGGUGAAGGUGCAGCAGUUGCUGAUGGGAUGGCACAGCACAAGAGGAGGAGGAAAAUCGUGCAAAUGCCCUUUUCUCCUAGGAAAACAGUCUCGCCCCUUGCUACAUGGCUGUCCCUGCACAUAUACCAUGGGCAGAGUGCUCUGGGGGCUGCAAGCGGCCACCAAGCACCGUCCCAAAGACAAAUGGGUUUUUCCGUCUCCUGGGCACUGGCAGCACUAUAAGGGUGAGGAGUCUUCUGCAGGGCUUCUGCCCAAUGGGAACCCAUCUGCUGCAGGGGACAGCAAACGCCGGCAGGACACAAAGGCUGCACGGCUGGGAUCGCGGCAGUGCCGUCAGAUGGGCUGCGUCCUGCUUUGCUGGGGGAGCGGCCCUCGGAGCCGGGCUGGGGCGGCUGCGUCCCCCCUCGGGAGCACAGCUGGGUCAAGCACGGGAUGCAUCCCCAGAUAGGGCCACGUAUGCAACGCAUCCCCAUGUAGGACCAUAAGGGAUGCGUCCCCAGGGAAGCUUCGGGCUGGCUCAGGACCUGAAGGACACCGAGGGGCUGGCGCCGGCCCAGAGACCCACCUGCCCGGGGUGAUCGCUGCGGGUGAGGGCGCAGGAGGAGCUGACAGAGGGACCGGGAGGCCGCUUCUGAGCUCUGCGGGGUUUGGGCAGAUCCAAUGGGGCAGGAAUAUUAAGUGCCGGUGGAUGCCAGCGAGCCGCCACCGCCGCUAUUGGCGACGUUCGCCGAGGAAUGAGGCGUAGCACCGCGGGCUGCGGGCACCGGGAGGGGAAAACCUGAAAACGGGGGCGAGCGGCCGCUCCCCCGGCACGGAGAGAGCGAUGCUGCACGGCCCCGCCGCCAUGGGAGAGCCCUGGCAGCCGCAGUCCCAGCAGCAGCGGCUCCCGGCUCUCGGCAACGCCUCGGCCCCCAGCGCCC
ensembl:lncRNA